GACGUAGGGCGCGAGCGUUGUCCGGAUUUAUUGGGCGUAAAGAGCUCGUAGGCGGCUUGUCGCGUCGACUGUGAAAACCCGCGGCUCAACUGCGGGCCUGCAGCCGAUACGGGCAGGCUAGAGUUCGGUAGGGGAGACUGGAAUUCCUGGUGUAGCGGUGAAAUGCGUAGAUAUCUGGAGGAACACCGGUGGCGAAGGCGGCAUUCUGGACCGAUAUUGACGCUGAGGAGCGAAAGCCAGGGGAGCAAACGGG
rnacentral:rRNA from 1 species